GCCCUUGGGCCAUCGGCGUCGCAGCUUCCGGCACCGACAGAGUUUAUUCAACCUCACUUCUUCUUGGCAAUGGCCAAAAAGUUGGAGGAGUAGGAAUGUCUGGUAUGCCACCAUAUAACAAUAUCCAAUUACUAUCAUUAUGGAGCAAAAAAUUAUAACUAAUUACUAUCAUCUUCCUCAGGACCCAGUUUAGGGAGUGAGUUUUUCCUACAUAAGUUGGUAUUGGCUAAGGAUGCAACGAAGCAAAAUGAAACAAAUUAUAACGACAUACCAAGUUACAUUGAAGAAUGCCAACAUCCUGAAGCUUUUGACCCAAAUAUUGUCCAAAACAGCAUAGUCCUUUGCUCUUUCUCACAAGGAUUCCUGAAUGGAACCUCCUCUCUUGCAGCCAUCAUUCACACUGCAAAACAACUCAAGUUCAUGGGUUUUGUUCUCAUUGCAAAUCCAAACUAUGGUGAUUUCAUUGCAGAGCCUAUCCCUUUCAGAGUUCCAGGCAUUCUCGUCCCCAGCGUAUCAGAUACUCAGGUAUAACUUUACAACAUAUAAACAAAUAAAAAUGGCCAUCUAAAUCAAAAUCUUCAUUUUCCCCCCCCCCCCCCCCCCCUAAUUUUAGUUAGAUUUCAAACAUGUUUUCAAAAAGCUAAGUGGCCAACAACAAAAAAAAAAAAAACAUAAAUGCAUGCCCCAUAAAAUCAAGUUUAUAUUCUUCAAGUUUAUUUAUUUUGUUUUCGACUUCUUUCCAGUUUUUUCAUAAACGAAAACUAAAGAAAAAUUCGUUUGUUAACACUUGUUUUUCUUAUUAGAAUGUGAUUAAAAUUCAAAGGUGAAAACCUUAGAAGCACAAGCACUUCACUUCUACUAGCGUGAGUCAAUCCAUCCAUCUCUGGCUUCUGCCAUACACAAUUAUUGGACAUUUCAAUUCACUUGUUGAAUACAUAUCAAACACAUGUCACAUUAGUGCGACAUAUUAUUAGACAUGCAUAAACAUUAAUGUAGACCAGAAAGGCACGUAUAUCUAAAAUACAUCAAAAUAAGUUUCUGAAGCAUAACUAGAUUUUUAAAAUACGACAUGUUGUGUUAGAUCAUAAUUGUGUCUUGUAUCCGUAUCUGUGCUUCUAAGGUGAAAAUUAAGUCACAAUUUUAUGAAAAACAACCAAAAAAAAAUUAAAAACAAAGUCAUCAUGAAAGAUACCAAAAAUUUUUAAUGAACAGGAGUUGACAAUCUUGGAUUGCAAGCUGAAAAUAUAGGUAAUACUGAAGUACUAUGAAGAAAAUACAUGCAAGGAUGAAAGAGGAAUGGUUAGAGAAUUUAAAGGGAAAGCAGGGAUUGGAGAAGGAAGAAUUGCUUCAUUUGGGAACCAAGCACCCACAGUUAGCAGAUUUUCAUCAAGAGGACCAGAUUACAUAAACAUAAAUAGGAGUUUAGCUGAUGUUCUAAAGCCAGAUAUUCUUGCACCUGGUCACCAAAUUUGGGCUGCUUGGAGCCCUCUCAGUGCCUCAGAACCACUAUUAAAGGGUCAGCUUUUCAUGAACUUAUUGUUCUUUCAGUUUCAUCAAUUUUUCCCUUUUACAUUUGUCAUUCAAUCUAUAUGAAUUUUAAGCAAUUCUUGUUUUGGUCUCUUUAGGUUUUAAAACCCCAGUGCUAAAAAAAAUAUAUUUGUUUUUAGUUUUCUCUGUAUGAAAUUUAUAUGUACUGUUUUUCUCUUAAAUUUUAUAUUAUGGUUCUUACAUUUAUAAAACAAACAAUUGGGUUCUCAGUAAACUUUUACAAUUACAUGACCCUACUUUUUCUUAAUUUCUUGUGAUGUUUAGCAUCUCUCUCAAGUAAUAUCAAGUUGAACUUCCUAGCCAAAUUCUAUAAACAAGAAAAAAUUCUUAAAAAGCUAAUCUUUCUAGUUUUCAGAACUUUAAUUUGAAACCUGGUUUUUGAAAACAACAUAUAGAUAACAAAAAUACAAAAAGCUUAGAGGUGGAAGAAGUGUCUACCUGCAUGCUUUUAAUUCCUAAAAGUUAAAAAUUGAAAACAAAGUUGUCAAAUAAUUUUUUUUUUCUAGUUUUUUAAAUUUUGUUUUGACUUUUACAAAUAUCAAUGAAAAGUGAAUAACAAAACAUAAACAAAGAAACAUAGUGAAACUAGAGUUUAUUAGUUUAAUUUUUUUAAAAAAAAAAUUAGUAAAGAUGAUCUAGAUAAAUUUCACCUUUAUAAGUCCCAAUCAACUCAAGAAAUUAGAAAGUCAUAUUUAUGUCAUAUCAAAAGGGCACAAGAGAAGUUGAUUGAAACAUGAGUGUUGAAUUAUAUAUAUACAGGAUACCAUUUUGCACUGAUGUCUGGAACAAGUAUGGCAGCACCUCAUAUUGUGGGAAUAGCAGCACUUAUCAAGCAAAAAUAUCCUUCUUGGACUCCUUCCAUGAUAGCUUCUGCUAUGUCCACAACUGCUACAAAGUAUGAUAUGAAUGGAGACCUUAUUCAGGCUGAGGGAUUCAACCUUCAUGCUUUAUAUCCUUCUA
rnacentral:lncRNA from 1 species